rnacentral:rRNA from 1 species
CACGCGGGAAUCUUACCGGGUCCGGACACACUGAGGAUUGACAGGUUAUGGGGCGGGUUGAAUUUCAAUCUCUUCGGGGAUUAAUUUUCUCCCACCUCAAAAAUAUGCUAGUCCUUUCAUGAUUAUGUGAUAGGUGGUGCAUGGCCGUUCUUAGUUCGUGGAGUGAUCUGUCUGCUUAAUUGCGUUUCACUAAAGGCGUCAUUAAUUUUUUGUGCCUGUGUUUGACCCCGCACUUCGGUGCGCGCGCGUCUUUCACACACAAUUACUUUGACGUCUGAAAGCAACGAACGUGACCGUAACCUCUUGUUGCCUUCUCUUCUCUUCGGAGAAUGCUGCUUU